AAAGGGAGACCUAAUUCAGGUAAAAGACGAAAAAAAAGUAGUCGCUACCAAGAAUCAAUCCCAAAAGGUCGGAGCGAGGCGAAAUUGGCUUUCAAACUAGGUUCUGGGUUCAAACAAGACCUGAAUCAGGAACAAGGGCUAUUAGCUCAGGUGGUUAGAGCGCACCCCUGAUAAGGGUGAGGUCCCUGGUUCGAGUCCAGGAUGGCCCACCUGUACAGGUGGCAAAAACAAGAGAAGCGAGGAAUCAGCACCUUAUCUUACUGACAUAGUAAGAGAGAAUGCUGGCUCUGAGUAAAGAGUCCAGAGGAACCUUGAAAACUGCAUAGAGCUAGGUGAAAAAGCCAAAAAAGAAGACCGCAAG
rnacentral:tRNA from 1 species